GCUAACUAGGGUCAAUAAGCAUGAGGAGUAAGUGGGGGGGCAGGGGUGGUCGGACUUAUGUGGUUGAAAGAAGGGGGAGGCGGCCUGGCAGGUCCGCUGUGAAUACUGGAGUCGCAACCUCGAGAGGGCGGUUGAGACCACCGGGCUAGAGUACGGAAGAGGGGGGUGGAAUUCCCGGUGGAGCCGUGAAAUGCGCAGAGAGAGGGAAGAACGCCCGUGGCGGUGGCUGCACUCUGGGUCGGUACUGACGCUGAGACGCGAAGGCGGGGGGAGCGAACAGGAUUAGGUGCCCGGGUAGUC
rnacentral:rRNA from 1 species